AAAGUUUUGCCAUGUGGGACAGUUCGGUCAGCAGCCACGACGAGUCGAAACGUGCUGCAUGGCGUACACGCUGACAUCGUCUUCACGCAGGAGGCCACGUAGGCAAUCCGCUUGCCUAGGCAAUUUGAUGGCCCAGAUCGUAUCUCGCAUGCACGAAGGGCCCAGAUACAUUCCCUCUUCAGACAUGAUAAGAUGGAUGAGAUUGAUCGUAAUGGACAAUUCAUAUUUGCUUAUGCAAUCGAGCUAAACA
rnacentral:lncRNA from 1 species